rnacentral:rRNA from 1 species
CCCUUAGAUGUUCUGGGCCGCACGCGUGCUACACUGAACGGUUCAAUGGGUAAGGUAGUGCGAAAGCAUGACCUAAUCUCGAAAUCCGUUCGUGCUGGGGAUAGAAGCUUGCAAUUAUCCUUCUUGAACGAGGAAUACCUUGUAAGCGUGAGUCAUCAUCUCACGCUGAAUACGUCCCUGCCCUUUGUACACACCGCCCGUCGCUCCUACCGAUUGAGUGUUCCGGUGAGGCUUUGGGAGAAUGGCCUCAACAUGAGUUUAUCGUGUUUUGCCGUUUGAACUUAGUCAAACCCUAUCACUUAGAGGAAGGAGAAGUCGUAACA